rnacentral:rRNA from 1 species
UACGUAGGGUGCAAGCGUUGUCCGGAAUUAUUGGGCGUAAAGAGCUCGUAGGCGGUCUGUCGCGUCGGCUGUGAAAGCCCGGGGCUUAACUCCGGGUCUGCAUUCGAUACGGGCAGGCUAGAGUUCGGUAGGGGAGAUCGGAAUUCCUGGUGUAGCGGUGAAAUGCGCAGAUAUCAGGAGGAACACCGGUGGCGAAGGCGGAUCUCUGGGCCGAUACUGACGCUGAGGAGCGAAAGCGUGGGGAGCGAACAGG